GAUGAACGCUAGCGGCAGGCUUAAUACAUGCAAGUCGUGGGGCAGCAUGAGUAGCAAUACUUGAUGGCGACCGGCAAACGGGUGCGGAACACGUACACAACCUUCCGAUAAGUGGGGAAUAGCCCAGAGAAAUUUGGAUUAAUACCCCGUAACAUAUAGAGUAGGCAUCUUCUUUAUAUUAUAGCUUCGGCGCUUAUUGAUGGGUGUGCGUCUGAUUAGGUAGUUGGCGGGGUAACGGCCCACCAAGCCUACGAUCAGUAGCUGAUGUGAGAGCAUGAUCAGCCACACGGGCACUGAGACACGGGCCCGACUCCUACAGGAGGCAGCAGUAAGGAAUAUUGGACAAUGGGCGAAAGCCUGAUCCAGCCAUGCCGCGUGAAGGAUUAAGGUCCUCUGGAUUGUAAACUUCUUUUAUUUGGGACGAAAAAAGGGAAUUCUUUCCCACUUGACGGUACCAAGUGAAUAAGCACCGGCUAACUCCGUGCCAGCCGCCGCGGUAACAC
rnacentral:rRNA from 1 species